rnacentral:rRNA from 1 species
GACGAACCGUGCGAACGUUGUUCGGAAUCACUGGGCUUAAAGGGCGCGUAGGCGGGCGGUCCAGUCAGGGGUGAAAUCUUUCGGCUCAACCGGAAAAGUGCCCCUGAUACUGACCGCCUCGAGGGGUGUAGGGGCAUGCGGAACUUCCGGUGGAGCGGUGAAAUGCGUAGAUAUCGGAAGGAACGCCGGUGGCGAAAGGCGGCCCCUGGUU